rnacentral:tRNA from 2 species
GGAGAGGUGGCUGAGUGGUUGAAAGCGCCAGAUUGCUAAUCUGUUGUAUGAUUUAUUAUCAUACCGAGGGUUCGAAUCCCUUCCUCUCCU